CUCUCUACCGCACAGACCCCCACUCUCUUAUCCUCUCCACCGCCCAGCACCCAUCUCUUCUAUCUUCUCCCCAUCUCUCCUCUCUCCCACGCCAUAGAGGCCAGGCUGGUGGAUGGAGCCCAUGUGCCGGAAGCUCACUGCCAAGGUGGUCUGGGUCAUGAGCAGCUUCAUCGUCUGCAUCGCCAUGGCCAUGGUCACCAUCCUCAGCUCCUGUCGCUCGAGGUAAGCUAUAGCGGCAGGCGGGGCUGAGCUCAAGCUCGGGAUGGUGCUACUAGAUGUGCUACUAGAUUUGGCCGCACGAGAUUGGCGCUCCUUUUCUCUCUCCCAUGCUUGCACAUACAAGAAUCAAGACCGAUGGUUGCAUCUGUAUAGUUUUCUUCCGUUGCUUUGUCUUGCUUGCUUGAUGGGAAUUGGACCUUUGAUUCGUUUGUUGUUGAGGAGAUGAACAGGUGGUGUGGUGCUCACCCUGCCCGACGGCAAGCUUGCGGGAUGCAGGAUGCACUUGGCGUAUGCUCGGUCCCUGUUCGUGGAUGGACCGGCGGCGGCUCCCUCUUGCGGAUCCAGGCAUGAAGCGGCCAGAUCCGGCGAGGAGGCAUCACGCUUAGUCGCUUGGACGCCACGGAGGUGGCGGCGAGCAGCCGUACGGCGGGGAGCCACUGGCCGCACCAGACGGAUGGGCCGCACGGCCAGAGCAAGCCAUGGCCGUUCCCGUGCCUGCGCCCGCCGAGCACCAUGCAGUUCCCCUUCGAGAACAAAGUGUAUGCAAGUGUAUGCAUGCAAAGUGUACUGUGAAGUCGUUGAUUUGAAAUAUCCAAGACAAGAACUUGAAGGACUGUUCAAGGCGAUACUGACAAUAUUCAAGCGAAUGCUGAAGCUAUAGCAAUAUUCAAGCGAAUGCUGAAGCUAUAGGUGGCUUGAUGAUGAAGGGGGCGAAAGCUUAAGUUCCAUUUUUUCAGAAAAAUGAGGAACUGUGCUGAUAAGCUAUGGUUUUUGUUGUUGUCCCUAGAACGAAGGGCGGUUAAAUAGCCCAACCAAGUGCUUUGAUGACUUUAUAAUCACCAUGAGAUUAUCACGUUUCCUAUUAUGGGGUAAUGGGAAAUGUUUACUUAUCUGAUUUUUGUUUCUUAUUAUACUAGAUAAAUUAGCAAC